rnacentral:rRNA from 1 species
UACGAAGGGUGCAAGCGUUACUCGGAAUUACUGGGCGUAAAGCGUGCGUAGGCGGUCUGUUAAGUCCGUUGUGAAAGCCCGGGGCUCAACUCCGGAAUUGCCUUUAAGACUGCAUCGCUAGAAUUGUGGAGAGGUAAGUGGAAUUCCGAGUGUAGAGGUGAAAUUCGUAGAUAUUCGCAAGAACACCAGUGGCGAAGGCGGCUCUCUGGGCCUUACCUGACGCUGAGGAGCGAAAGCGUGGGGAGCGAACAGG